rnacentral:tRNA from 1 species
AAGAAAUUAGUUUAAAAAAAACAUUAAUUUGUCAAGUUAAAGAUAUACAAAUUAUUUAUAUUUCUUU